rnacentral:lncRNA from 1 species
GGGUUCCCUGGCAUCUGCGGAGAGGGUUCAGCACGAAACAAAAAAUAAAUUUUCCACUGAAUUCAGGACCAAAAAGCAUGGGAGGAAAAGUAAUUCAGAAUUCUAGAAGUCAGACUUGUAGCAUAUCCUAGGGUUUAACACAGUGGAAAAUGACCUGACAUCUUGGAUGAGAAAGCACUGCUAGAACAUUUGAAAGGAAGAUA